rnacentral:rRNA from 1 species
UACGAAGGGGGCUAGCGUUGUUCGGAAUCACUGGGCGUAAAGGGCGCGUAGGCGGCUUUAUAAGUCGGGGGUGAAAGCCUGUGGCUCAACCACAGAAUUGCCUUCGAUACUGUAGAGCUUGAGACCGGAAGAGGUAAGUGGAACUGCGAGUGUAGAGGUGAAAUUCGUAGAUAUUCGCAAGAACACCAGUGGCGAAGGCGGCUUACUGGUCCGGUUCUGACGCUGAGGCGCGAAAGCGGUGGGGAGCAAAACGGG